CACUGCCAGGAUGUAUUUGGGAGAACUGUUUAUGGAGUAACUCAAAAGAAGUAAAGACUGAAAAUAGCCCAGAAGUGCCAAGUUAGAACCAGGGAAACAUCUACUACAAAAGCCCACUGGAGAAGAUGCCAGGAAACAGGCAGAGUUCCACAGGAUUUGGAAUCACCUAGGAGAUACAGUCCUGUGUGUGUCUGUGAGGAAGUCUCCAGAGAAGUUUAAUUGAGAUCCUGCCUCAAGCGCUAGACACACACUGCCCUGGAGGGCUUGGAGUGAGGCUCAGAAGUCAGUACCAUUGCUACCCAGGAUUUGUAGUGAGGAAACAGAGUCAAAGUUCCAGCAAGUCACCCACAGCACAGAACUUCUCAAAAACAGGAAAGUGGAAUGCCUCACAUACCCCUGUGAGACAGGAAGAGCCACCAAGAGUCUGCAUUACUGCUACUUCCAUAGGGAAACUGAGGCACAAAGAAGCAGGAGCAGAUGGCUGUCCCUCCUCCAAGAGUCGUGCAAAGCAGUGAAGGAUGGCGAA